rnacentral:rRNA from 1 species
GACGAACGCUGGCGGCGUGCUUAACACAUGCAAGUCGAACGGAAAGGCCCUGCUUUUGUGGGGUGCUCGAGUGGCGAACGGGUGAGUAACACGUGAGUAACCUGCCCUUGACUUUCGGAUAACUUCAGGAAACUGGGGCUAUUACCGGAUAGGAGCUCCUGCUCCAUGGUGGUGGUUGGUAAGUUUCGGCGGUUGGGGCUGGACUCGCGGCUUAUCAGCUUGUUGGUGGGGUAGUGGCUUACCAAGGCUUUGACGGGUAGCCGGCCUGAGAGGGUGACCGGCCACAUUGGGACUGAGAGACGGCCCAGACUCCUACGGGAGGCAGCAGUGGGGAGUAUUGCAGAGUGGGCGGAAGCCUGAUGCAGCGACGCCGCGUGCGGGAUGACGGCCUUCGGGUUGUAAACCGCUUUCGCAGGUGACGAGGCGGGAGUGACGGUAAUGGGUAAAGAAGCACCGGCUAACUACGUG